GUGCCCUUUUAAGGCUGAUGCAGUGCUUUAAGAGGCUAACACAGAAGGGUAAAGUAAGUCGCCAUAAAACCCAUGGGAGAGAUUAUGGAACUCUUCUUUGGAUCCUGUCUGGAGUUACAGCU
rnacentral:snoRNA from 1 species